CACGUAUUUAUCAGGAACACAAAAUUAACAAUUUGGAAAAUAAAAUAGUGUAAAGAAUAACAGGGCUAGCUACGAAAUAGUGUUGUAUUAUAUUUAUGUUUUACUCAUGAAAGCUGGUUGUGCCAUCAUUAGAUGUAACAAGUGGUGGCUAAUAAUGAUUGAAAUGUGGCAUACUUAGUUGUUAACAACACCCUUAUCUAAAUACAAGGGUGUCGUGUGCGAUACACCACGGUCUUACUUUUGAUGGGUAUAUCUAACAAAUGAUUUUUGGAAGCAAAAUCAUGAUAUAUGGAUUAUUCUUGACGUCUCUGAUUUUAAUGUUAUGGGCGCCUUGUCUGAAAAGGGGUAUGUGGGCUGAACCCGGUGUGGUGUUUGCUAAGGAUCGAAAAAACAGAGUAUUCCGUAUAACACCUACAGGCCAGUGCUGUAGAACCAACAGAAUAUGAAUGUGUUUAUACCUACCUGCAAAGAAAACUAAUUAUGUAAUUAAAUAUAUAUUUAUUUAACCCA